rnacentral:rRNA from 1 species
UACAGAGGGUGCAAGCGUUAAUCGGAGUUACUGGGCGUAAAGGGCGCGUAGGCGGUCAUUUAAGUUUGAUGUGAAAUCCCUGGGCUUAACCUAGGAACUGCAUUGAAAACUGGGUGACUGGAGUACUGUAGAGGGUAGUGGAAUUUCCGGUGUAGCGGUGAAAUGCGUAGAGAUCGGAAGGAACACCAGUGGCGAAGGCGGCUACCUGGACAGAUACUGACGCUGAGGCGCGAGAGCGUGGGGAGCAAACAGG